GUGUUGAGGAAAAGAGUGUCAUUGCUAUGUCACAUGUUGGUGUUGACUAUAAGAGUGUCAUUGAUAUGUCUCAUGUUGGUGUUGACUAUAAGAGUGUCAUUGCUAUGUCACAUGUUGGUGUUGACUAUAAUAGUGUCAUUGCUAUGUCACAUGUUAGUGUUGACUAUAAGAGUUGCAUUGCUAAGUGACAUGUUGGUGUUGACUAUAAGAGUGUCAUUGCUAUGUCACAUGUUGGUGUUGAGGUAAGAAGUGUCAUUGUUAUGUCACAUGUUAGUAUUGACUAUGAGAGUGUCAUUGCUAUGUCACAUGUUGGUGUUGACUAUAAGAGUGUCAUUGCUAUGUCACAUGUUGGUGUUGACUAAGAGUGUCAUUGAUAUGUCACAUGUUUGUGUUGACUAUAAGAGUGUCAUUGCUAAGUGACAUGUUGGUGUUGACUUUACGAGUGUCAUUGAUAUGUCAAAUGUUGGUGUUGAUUAUAAGAGUGUCAUUGAUAUGUCACACGUUGGUGUUGAGCAUAAGAGUGCCAUUGCUAUGUCACAUGAUGUAUGAUCAGGUGUCACAUGCCAUGUUCAGUACAAGAGUGGAAAAUGUAUGUUGUAUAAUCAGGUGUUACAUGUC
rnacentral:lncRNA from 1 species